AUUGAACGCUGGCGGCAGGCUUAACACAUGCAAGUCGAGCGAGCGGCGGACGGGUGAGUAAUGUCUGGGAAACUGCCUGAUGGUGGGGGAUAACUACUGGAAACGGUAGCUAAUACCGCAUACCAUCAGAUGUGCCCAGAUGGGAUUAGCUAGUAGGUGGGGUAACGGCCCACCUAGGCGACGAUCCUUAGCUGGUCUGAGAGGAUGACCAGCAGAACGGUAACAGAGACACGGUCCGAACGCCUACGGGAGGCAGCAGGGGGGAAUGUGGCACAAUGGGCGAAAGCCUGAUGCAGCCAUGCAGCGUGUGUGAAGAAGGCCUUCGGGUUGUAAAGCACUUUCAGCGGGGAGGCGUUAGCCGCAGAAGAAGCACCGGCUAACUCCGUGCCAGCAGCCGCGGUAAUAC
rnacentral:rRNA from 1 species